AGAAUCAACGCUGGCGGCGUGCCUCAGACAUGCAAGUCGAACGAUUAAAGCUCUCUUCGGAGAGUGUAUAGAGUGGCGCACGGGUGAGUAACACGUAAGUAAUCUACCUUCGAGUGGGGAAUAACGUCCGGAAACGGACGCUAAUACCGCAUAAUGCAGCGGCAUCGCAAGAUGACAGUUGUUAAAGAUUUAUCGCUUGAAGAGGAGCUUGCGGCAGAUUAGCUAGUUGGUAAGGUAAUGGCUUACCAAGGCUACGAUCUGUAACCGGUCUAAGAGGACGGUCGGUCACACUGACACUGAAUAACGGGUCAGACUCCUACGGGAGGCAGCAGUCGGGAAUUUUGGGCAAUGGGCGAAAGCCUGACCCAGCAACGCCGCGUGAAGGAUGAAGUAUUUCGGUAUGUAAACUUCGAAAGAAUAGGAAGAAUAAAUGACGGUACUAUUUAUAAGGUCCGGCUAACUACGCGCCAGCAGCCGC
rnacentral:rRNA from 1 species